AGGAUCCUUCUGCUGCCCGUGUGUCCCAGAGGGCUAGGGUUUCCUGUCUACUAGUCCUUGUCUGUUCAAUAGGCAUCGUCCAACGUCUGCAGAUACAGUGAUGGCAGCUGGUGACAAGGUCAGAUUGACGCUGGAAGACAGCCCUGGGUGCCACCGCUGCUGCUGGAGACAAGACUGGGGAGGGACACCAGGCCGAGGCAAGGCCACUGGGUCACAAGGGAUUUGAUGGCUUGAGGGAAAUACAGGAUGGGGAGAGUGAGCUCUGCAGUGCCGAGACCCUGGCAUUAUUUGCUUCUCUGUCUCAGCAGCUGUUCCUUCUGGGGCAGGGUCUAAAAACAUUCUAAAUCCAUGCGGUGUCCAAAGAUAAGGCUGGCUCCCUGACCCUCC
rnacentral:lncRNA from 1 species